rnacentral:rRNA from 1 species
GGAAGAUAAUGACGGUACUUGAGGAGGAAGCCCCGGCUAACUACGUGCCAGCAGCCGCGGUAAUACGUAGGGGGCUAGCGUUAGCCGGAUUUACUGGGCGUAAAGGGUGCGUAGGCGGUCUUUCAAGGCAGGAGUGAAAGGCUACGGCUCAACCGUAGUAAGCUCUUGAAACUGGGAGACUUGAGUGCAGGAGAGGAGAGUGGAAUUCCUA